ACCCUCCAGUUUCCUUAUCCAUUGAACCUGCACCGGUCUGAGUGGUUAUAAAAGGAGGGAGAGUAAAAUAGAAACUGAUAAAUUUUUUGUGUGACACGUAAGCUAGUUUCAAGCAAAC
rnacentral:snoRNA from 1 species